rnacentral:rRNA from 1 species
CCUACGGGUGGCAGCAGUGGGGAAUAUUGGGCAAUGGGCGCAAGCCUGACCCAGCAACGCCGCGUGAAGGAAGAAGGCUUUCGGGUUGUAAACUUCUUUUCUCAGGGACGAAGCAAGUGACGGUACCUGAGGAAUAAGCCACGCCUACCUACGUCCAGGCAGCCGCGGUAAUACGUAGGUGGCAAGCGUUAUCCGGAUUUACGGGGGGAAAAGGGCGUUUAGGCGGGUACGCAAGUAGAAUGUGAAAACCACGGGCUCAACCUGGGGCCUGCAUUUGAAACUGUGUUGCUUGAGUACUGGAGAGGCAGACGGAAUUCCUAGUGUAGCGGUGAAAUGCGUAGAUAUUAGGAGGAACACCAGUGGCGAAGGCGGUUUGCUGGACAGCAACUGACGCUGAGGCGCGAAAGCGUGGGGAGCAAACAGGAUUAGAUACCCGUGUAGUC